AUGAACGCUGGCGGCGUGCCUCAUACAUGCCAGUCGAGCGAACAGACGAGGAGCUUGCUCCUCUGACGUUAGCGGCGGACGGGUGAGUAACACGUGGAUAACCUACCUAUAAGACUGGGAUAACUUCGGGAAACCGGAGCUAAUACCGGAUAAUAUAUUGAACCGCAUGGUUCAAUAGUGAAAGACGGUUUUGCUGUCACUUAUAGAUGGAUCCGCGCCGCAUUAGCUAGUUGGUAAGGUAACGGCUUACCAAGGCAACGAUGCGUAGCCGACCUGAGAGGGUGAUCGGCCACACUGGAACUGAGACACGGUCCAGACUCCUACGGGAGGCAGCAGCAGGGAAUCUUCCGCAAUGGGCGAAAGCCUGACGGAGCAACGCCGCGUGAGUGAUGAAGGUCUUCGGAUCGUAAAACUCUGUUAUUAGGGAAGAACAAAUGUGUAAGUAACUAUGCACGUCUUGACGGUACCUAAUCAGAAAGCCACGGCUAACUACGUG
rnacentral:rRNA from 1 species